rnacentral:rRNA from 1 species
UACAGAGGUCUCAAGCGUUGUUCGGAUUCAUUGGGCGUAAAGGGUGCGUAGGCGGCGCGGUAAGUCGGGUGUGAAAUCUCGGAGCUUAACUCCGAAACUGCAUUCGAUACUGCCGUGCUUGAGGACUGGAGAGGAGACUGGAAUUUACGGUGUAAGAGGUGAAAUUCGUAGAUAAUUCGGAAGAACACCAGUGGCGAAGGCGGCUGACUGGAACAUGUAUUGACGCUGAGGUGACGAAAGCGUGGGGAGCAAACAGG